rnacentral:rRNA from 1 species
GACGCGCGCUGGCGGCGUGCUUAACACAUGCAAGUCGAACGGUAAGGCCCUUCGGGGUACACGAGUGGCGAACGGGUGAGUAACACGUGGGUGAUCCGCCCUGCACUUCGGGAUAAGCCUGGGAAACUGGGUCUAAUACCGGAUAGGACCACUGCCUGCAUGGGUGGUGGUGGAAAGCUUUUGCGGUGUGGGAUGGGCCCGCGGCCUAUCAGCUUGUUGGUGGGGUGAUGGCCUACCAAGGCGACGACGGGUAGCCGGCCUGAGAGGGUGACCGGCCACACUGGGACUGAGAUACGGCCCAGACUCCUACGGGAGGCAGCAGUGGGGAAUAUUGCACAAUGGGCGCAAGCCUGAUGCAGCGACGCCGCGUGAGGGAUGACGGCCUUCGGGCUGUAAACCUCUUUCAGCACCGACGAAGCGCAAGUGACGGUGGGUGCAGAAGAAGGACCGGCCAACUACGUGCCAGCCGCCGCCGUAAAAC